AAAGGAAGGGUUGUAGAUUAAUACUCUUGCAAUUUUGACGUUACCGACAGAAUAAGCACCGGCUAACUCUGUGCCAGCUCCAGCCGCGGUAAUACAGAGGGUGCAAGCGUUAAUCGGAAUUACUGGGCGUAAUAGCGCGCGUAGGUGGUUCGUUAAGUUGGAUGUGAAAUCCCCGGCUCAACCUUCGGGAACUGCAUCCAAAACUGGCGAGCUAGAGUAUGGUAGAGGGGGUGGAAGCUUUCCUGUGUAGCGGUGAAAUGCGUAGAUAUAGGAAGGAACACCACGUGGCGCGAAGGCGACCACCUGGACUGAUACUGACACUGAGGUGCGAAAGCGUCGGGGGGAGCAAACAGGAUUAGAUACCCUGGUAGUCCACGCCGUAAACGAUGUCGAGGACUAGCCGUUGGGAGCCUUGAGCUCUUAGUGGCGCAGCUAACGCAUUAAGUGAUGACCGCCUGGGGAGUACGGU
rnacentral:rRNA from 1 species